GAAAUGCGAUAAGUAAUGUGAAUUGCAGAAUUCAGUGAAUCAUCGAAUCUUUGAACGCACCUUGCGCUCCUUGGUAUUCCUUGGAGCAUGCCUGUUUGAGUAUCAUGAAAUCUUCAAAGUAAAUCUUUUGUUAACUCAAUUGGUUUCUACUUUGGUAUUGGAGGUCUUUGCAGCUUCACACCUGCUCCUCUUUGUUCAUUAGCUGGAUCUCAUUGUUAUGCUUGGUUCCACUCGGCGUGAUAAGUUAUCUAUCGCUGAGGACACUGUAAAAGGUGGCCAAGGUAAAUGCAGAUGAACCGCUUCUAAUAGUCCAUUGACUUGGACAAUACUUUUAUGAUCUGAUCUCAAAUCAGGUAGGACUACCCGCUGAACUUAAGC
rnacentral:misc_RNA from 1 species